AUUGAACGCUGGCGGCAUGCUUUACACAUGCAAGUCGAACGGUAACAGGCCUUCGGGUGCUGACGAGUGGCGAACGGGUGAGUAAUGCAUCGGAACGUACCCAGAGGUGGGGGAUAACGCAGCGAAAGCUGUGCUAAUACCGCAUGUGAUCUGAGGAUGAAAGCGGGGGACCGAGCAGCAAUGUUUGGCCUCGCGCCUUUGGAGCGGCCGAUGUCGGAUUAGCUGGUUGGUGGGGGAAAGGCCUACCAAGGCGACGAUCCGUAGCUGGUCUGAGAGGAGGACCAGCCACACUGGGACUGAGACACGGCCCAGACUCCUACGGGAGGCAGCAGUGGGGAAUUUUGGACAAUGGGCGCAAGCCUGAUCCAGCAAUGCCGCGUGCGGGAAGAAGGCCUUCGGGUUGUAAACCGCUUUUGGCAGGAACGAAACGGUGUCCGCUAAUACCGGGCGCUAAUGACGGUACCUGCAGAAUAAGCACCGGCUAACUACGUG
rnacentral:rRNA from 1 species